GCCCGAGUAGCUCAGGGGUAGAGCGCAUCCUUGGUAAGGAUGAGGUCUCGGGUUCAAAUCCCGACUUGGGCUCCA
rnacentral:tRNA from 1 species